UACGAAGGGGCUAGCGUUGUUCGGAUUUACUGGGCGUAAAGCGCGUGUAGGCGGGCUGGAAAGUUGGGGUGAAAUCCCGAGGCUCAACCUCGGAACUGCCUCCAAAACUUCCAGCCUGGAGCAAGAUAGAGGCAAGUGGAAUUGCGAGUGUAGAGGUGAAAUUCGUAGAUAAUUCGCAGGAACACCGGUGGCGAAGGCGGCGUUCUGGACUGCAACUGACACUGAGGAACGAAAGC
rnacentral:rRNA from 1 species